CGGAGCAACGCCGCGUGAGGGAGGAAGGCCCUUGGGUUGUAAACCUCUUUUGUUAGGGAAGAAGAAAGUGACGGUACCUAACGAAUCAGCCUCGGCUAACUCCGUGCCAGCAGCCGCGGUAAUACGGAGGAGGCAAGCGUUAUCCGGAAUUAUUGGGCGUAAAGAGUCCGCAGGUGGCCCUUCAAGUCUGCCGUCAAAGAGCCAAGCUCAACUUGGUUAAGGCAGUGGAAACUGAAGAGCUAGAGUCCGGUAGGGGUAGCGGGAAUUCCCAGUGUAGCGGUGAAAUGCGUAGAGAUUGGGAAGAACAUCGGUGGCGAAGGCGCGCUACUGGGCCGGAACUGACACUCAGAGGACGAAAGCUAGGGGAGCG
rnacentral:rRNA from 1 species